rnacentral:rRNA from 1 species
AACGAACGCUGGCGGCGUGCCUAAUACAUGCAAGUCGAGCGAAUGGAUUAAGAGCUUGCUCUUAUGAAGUUAGCGGCGGACGGGUGAGUAACACGUGGGUAACCUGCCCAUAAGACUGGGAUAACUCCGGGAAACCGGGGCUAAUACCGGAUAACAUUUUGAACCGCAUGGUGCGAAAUUGAAAGGCGGCUUCGGCUGUCACUUAUGGAUGGACCCGCGUCGCAUUAGCUAGUUGGUGAGGUAACGGCUCAACAAGGCAACGAUGCGUAGCCGACCUGAGAGGGUGAUCGGCCACACUGGGACUGAGACACGGCCCAGACUCCUACGGGAGGCAGCAGUAGGGAAUCUUCCGCAAUGGACGAAAGUCUGACGGAGCAACGCCGCGUGAGUGAUGAAGGCUUUCGGGUCGUAAGGCUCUGUUGUUAGGGAAGAACAAGUGCUAGUUGAAUAAGCUGGCACCUUGACGGUACCUAACCAGAAAGCCACGGCUAACUACGUGCCAGCCGCCGCAGUAA